CUUCUUUCUGUUGAUCUUCCUGUCACCAUAGGCUACAAAAGACUGUCUGACAGAGUCCAGUUUUCAGGAGAGGUGAGAUGAAGAGUGACAGGGAAAAGGUGGCCUCUGAGAAUCAGAGAAUUAAAUUUAUUGCUGAUUAAAAACAUCUUUGGGCAUGCAUCAGCUAUAUCAGACACACCAUCUUCCUGUGUAUUCUCACCUUAGAAGAGGCUGACCACAGUGAAAGAACUAAUGAAGGCUGCGUACAGACAGGCAGAAGGAUCCCAGGGAUCCCAGCACAGGCCACAGCCACUUCUGCAUCAUCAUCCACCCCUUCUCUGGUUGUCUGGAACACUGCAGGAUGCAAG
rnacentral:lncRNA from 1 species